GAUUUCAUGUUCAAUAUUGCAACAGAUGAAAUUCCUCUUUCCAAAUGAUAUAACUAUAUACAAUACCCUAUUUUUAUUUUUUAGACUAGCUCUGAUCAAUCUUUUUAGUAUGGUAGCAUAUGUGAGAAUUUCUCUGCCUGUAACCUGGACAACGCACAUUGGCCAAUUCCGAAUAUCUUGCUUUCAAGUGUUAUUUUUUUAGGGUUACAUCCUACAGCACCUAUCAUUGUAGUGCCUAUCACCUCAUUGCAAUCUCACAAUAAUCAAUUGAAAUUGACUAGAGUUUAGAAUUCUUUUUUUUUUUUUAAAUGAAAAAAAAAGGUGGCAUAUCUGAGCUCUUCUGGUCAAAUCUUUUGAUAUCAACAAGAAGAUGCUCUACACCUCUGAAUGCAUCCAUCUGAAACUUCCUUUUCUGUCAAAAAUUGUGAAAAAUGAUUAGUUGGUCAUUUGAUUAAUUAUUUUCUUUUUCUACUGAAAAGACCUAUUUACUGUCAAAAUCCUUUAUUCUUGUAAAUGUUUCUUAUUUUACUUUAAGCUUUCUAUUGUAAAGUACUUGCGGAUUACCUUUUCAAUGUUGAUUCCAGUUUGUUGGAAACUCAAGCAUUGAACUGGCCAUCUAAAGGUACAGGAUAACUGUCUGGAAGACUCUGCUGUUUAUAAUUUCUUUUGACUCCUAGCUUGAUGGUGUACUGUUCUUGUACAUGUUUACAAAAGUUUAAAUGUGGCCAGCAGCAUCAAGAACAUAUUCAUCAUGGAUAAAGGUGUGCGAAUGGAGGAAUCCACCAUCUCACACGCAUGGAAUUUGGAACCUGAGUCUGGCAGGCUUCACUCUUUCGCUAUCCAGAUCCUGCAGAUUGAGAGGUGAGUUACUGUUUCCUUUUCUUUUAUUCAAUACGGCUACUUAUUCUUCUCUUGAAGUUCACAGAUCCUUUGCAUGCUUUGCUUUCAAAAAAUGAUUAAAUCUCUAAUUUUCUUAAGAUUUUAGUGAAAUCUUUUCUCUUGAGUUUGAAAUUCAGGGGCAACUAGAUAAUUUGAGAAUUUCAUGUUGCCCUGGUUUUCUUAUAAAUAGAUGAGAUAUGAAGAAUAAGAAAACAAGAGCAGAGAGAUAAGACAUUGGGGUGGUGAUAGAAGACAGUCACAAUAUUUCUUUCAGUCAAGAAAUCAGGAGUCCUCAAGUAUGAGUUGAAUAUAAAUGGUGAAAAUGAUAACAUUGCAAUUAAGAAUCUUCUGACAUUGGCUUUUGGUUAUUUUUUAAAGAAGUUGUCUCUAAGUCAUGGAAAGGAAGUAUUAUUAUCAGAUACGUUGCUUGGGAGUGUAUUGAUAAGAAGCUAGUCUGGAUAAUGUUUGCAUAAUUAAUCAGUGUACAAACUUCUUUUACUAUCAGCACCCUUCGCCAUACUCUGUGUCUGUGUGUUGAACCCCUUGCUAAUUGUACUGUUUUGAUCUUCAAUUGGGGAGUACCGGGAUAACUAAUUCUGGUCAUCUAACUUGUUAGCCAAGGACUUGUGCAGGUGAUAUGACUUCUUUUAUUGUACUAGUUCUAGUUUUCCUCCUUAUUACUCUGUUGCAUUGAAUGCAUAUGAUAUUCUUAUGGUCUUGCAUUUAGUCCUCUAAUGAUCUAAUCUCAAGCUUUACUUCUAAUAUCAUUCCUGCAUUUAAACUGCAUAUGGAAUUCUCCAUGCUUGAUAAGAAGGAUAGUAGUUUUAAGUCUCACUAGCCAUUUAAACUGCAUGCCAAUGAUGUCUUCCAUAUACAUCCCAUCUGGAUUCCUUAUGCUUCAAAAAGACUUCAGCAAGUUGUCCUCUUUGCAAACCAUCCAAUUUCCACUUGUAAGGAUUCAGACUAAGAAAAAGCAGAGCAUAAAAUAAAGAGUCCAUUUGUUAAUGCUAGUACUAUUGAUGAAUGCAAUUAGUACCUAAAAUCAAGAUGAUAUUGCUGACUGCCGCUCACAGGUACUGUGUUCAGCAUUUUCUUUUUGACCAAUGUUGUUUUGUUGCUGCCGAUAUUCUCCACCUCAAGUCAUCCCUGGUGCAUAUAUUCUGUUAUUGUCACAGUGGACAUCUGGGUCUCAUCUGAUAUCUUUCUGAAGAAUGAAGGAUGAAUAGCUUCUGAUGCCUUUCGGUGACUUCCGUGGAUUUCUUAUCAAUAUGUGGUACCAUGUCCUCGACAUAGGUGAAUGUAACCAUGGAAUUUGGCAAAAGAUGGGUGAAUUUAGUGAGGAUUUUGAGGCCUCUUUAGUUUGUAAUUCUGUAAAUCCUUGACGACCCUGGAAUUCAAUGGGGACGUGUUGCAUUCCGUCUUCUUUGUAGCCUCUCGGCAUUCACUAUGAUUUUUUCAAAUAAAAUCA